UACGUAGGGUGCGAGCGUUGUCCGGAAUUAUUGGGCGUAAAGCGUGCGCAGGCGGUUUUGUAAGUCUGUCGUGAAAUCCCCGGGCUCAACCUAGGAAUUGCGAUGGAGACUGCAAGGCUAGAAUCUGGCAGAGGGGGGUAGAAUUCCACGUGUAGCAGUGAAAUGCGUAGAGAUGUGGAGGAACACCGAUGGCGAAGGCAGCCCCCUGGGUCAAGAUUGACGCUCAUGCACGAAAGCGUGGGGAGCAAACAGG
rnacentral:rRNA from 1 species